rnacentral:misc_RNA from 1 species
AAGUCGUAACAAGGUUUCCGUAGGUGAACCUGCGGAAGGAUCAUUAACGAGUAAACAGGGGAGUUGUAGCUGGCCGCAAGGCAUGUGCACACUCUCUACUCAAUCCAACCUUACACCUGUGCACCUAUUGUAGGUCGAGUGGCUGGACUUGUUCUGGUCGCUCUUCCUAUGUUUUACACAUACACUUGUAGUCUCAGAAUGUAAUCCGCGUAUAACGCAUUAUAAAACAACUUUCAACAACGGAUCUCUUGGCUCUC